rnacentral:rRNA from 1 species
UCUGAGCAGGUGCUGCAUGGCUGUCGUCAGCUCGUGUUGUGAAAUGUUGGGUUAAGUCCCCGCAACGAGCGCAACCCUUAUCCUUGUUGCCAGCGAGUAAUGUCGGGAACUCAAAGGAGACUGCCGGUGAUAAACCGGAGGAAGGUGGGAUGACGUCAAGUCAUCAUGGCCCUUACGAGUAGGGCUACACACGUGCUACAAUGGCAUAUACAAAGAGAAGCGAACUCGCGAGAGCAAGCGGACCUCAUAAAGUAUGUCGUAGUCCGGAUUGGAGUCUGCAACUCGACUCCAUGAAGUCGGAAUCGCUAGUAAUCGUAGAUCAGAAUGCUACGGUGAAUACGUUCCCGGGCCUU